AUGGAAAAAGAUCAGCAACAAUUAGCAACACUCAUGGCGGAGCUAGAGGAGCCAGUUGGUCUUUGUGACUUGCCAACAAUUGACCCUCCUAAUACUAGGAGAAAGAAGGGGAGGGCAAUAAAGGAUUUUUCAGAGUGGAUAGAGAAAGAGCCUCCCGUGAAUUGGUCUUUGCUGCAUGACACCCAUGGAGCUAGGUAUGGCCACAUGACAACCAACCUUGCAGAGGUGUAUAACUUUGUACUCAGAGGGAAUAGAGCAUUGCCACUCAUAGCUAUUGUCGAGGCUGUAUUCCAUGGCACUUUGAGAUAUUUCAAAGACCGGCACGAGUUAGCAAAUAAGCAUAUUAUAGAUAAUCAGAACACACCUUACUGUAUCCGUGUCAUGGAGUACAUGGCAAAGAAGAUAGAGAGAGCAAAGAAGCACGCUGUGAGACUCGUCGGUAAUUAG
rnacentral:rRNA from 1 species